rnacentral:snRNA from 1 species
UCUGUUCUAAUCAGUGUGAAAACUGGUUUUCGCCUUUUGGCGGACCUUUUCACUCGCAUUUUUGGGCAAUCGUCUGCGGCUAGCUUGCUAGCGGCGGACGAGCGGUCUCCGGGGGCGUACACCUUUCCCCCGAGGCCA